rnacentral:rRNA from 1 species
AUUGAACGCUGGCGGCAGGCUUAACACAUGCAAGUCGAGCGGAGAUGAGGUGCUUGCACCUUAUCUUAGCGGCGGACGGGUGAGUAAUGCUUAGGAAUCUGCCUAUUAGUGGGGGACAACAUUCCGAAAGGAAUGCUAAUACCGCAUACGUCCUACGGGAGAAAGCAGGGGAUCUUCGGCCCUUGCGCUAAUAGAUGAGCCUAAGUCGGAUUAGCUAGUUGGGGGGGUAAAGGCCUAACAAGGCGACGAUCUGUAGCGGGUCUGAGAGGAUGAUCCGCCACACUGGGACUGAGACACGGCCCAGACUCCUACGGGAGGCAGCAGUGGGGAAUAUUGGACAAUGGGGGGAACCCUGAUCCAGCCAUGCCGCGUGUGUGAAGAAGGCCUUAUGGUUGUAAAGCACUUUAAGCGAGGAGGAGGCUACUGAGACUAAUACUCUUGGAUAGUGGACGUUACUCGCAGAAUAAGCACCGGCUAACUCUGUGCCAGCCGCCGCCGUAAAAC